rnacentral:misc_RNA from 1 species
GGGAGAGCUCUAGUGUGAAAAAACAGAAGCAAGAUAAUAUCAGUUGCCAGAGAUAAUACUGAAAAGUCAUCGCUCAAGACAUCCUGACGUUGAAGAAAACCGAUAUUGGUAGCUUGUGUUUACCCAAAUCUCUUCUACUAUUACCAAACCUCUUUAGGAAAAUCUGAUGCAUGGUGUUAAAGUUUAAAUAUGAUGCUGACAUAUACAUAGCCUGGUCGUUUUUCUUUCUUUAUUUUUGGGCAACAAAGUGUGGGGAAUCGAAAUUGGGAUGUAUCACAG